GAGGGAGAAGCCCUUCUUACGUCCUCCACAUGUGGCCAUGCUGGAGAUGGUACCUGAGCCGCAGCACAGCAGCUGGUGUGACAGCAGCCCAUCUCACUGACCCUUCCGUGGCUUCAAGAGAGAAGACACAGGAUAUUGAGAAGAAACUUUAGAGAAAACAUGGAGAACAUAAAGGAAUAUGUGCUGCAGUCUUGAGGUUGUGAAUAUAAAAGGCAAAGUCCAGCCUGUGUUUAGUGGGGUCACCAUCUCCCUGUCUGGUUGCCCAAGAUUAACUCCGCUGAGAUGUCUACACAAUAUAUGACCUUGAAGUCAGAAGACCUGGACUCUGGAGUGGCUACUUCCCUCUAGAUGCAACUGUCCUGGAGAAUUUUCUAGUUUAAUCUCAUUUAUGCAUCUGUACUCUUUGGCUGGAGAGCAUGUAUUUUAUAUAUUCUUUGUUCAUUGAUCAACUUGUACCUGAGACUAUAUUGUUUAUAAAGGAUAGAAUUUUUGACCCAAGGCUCUUGAAAGCUGACCACUCUAAGGUCAAGGGUAGAGGCAAUAGCAUUAAUACAAAGAAAAACAUUUCCUGAAUAAUCCUCCGACUGUAGAUUCUCCGACUGUACAGUGAUACAUGUUGAAAAAAGUAUCAGGUUUUGAAUCUUGAAAAUCAAAGAUUGUGUCUUUCUCAUAUUUUUGAGUCUAUUUCUCUUUUUGAAUAAGGUAACACUAGUUUAUAAAAGAUAUUUAUUAACUCAUUUUUGUAGCUGAGUAUUCUAUUGUUUAAACUAAUGUUAUAAUAUUGCUGAUAUGAUUUUUAAGCAAUACAUUAAUGAACAUUAAAUGUUAUAUGUAAUUCAAUAAGACAAAAGAACACAUAAAAUAAUCACAUAGAAGGCCUAGGCUUUGAGAAAGGAAGACAGAAAUUCUGUCUGGCAGGAAGAGGAGUAGGUAAUCCCUGCAUUUCCAGGUGUAAAGGGGACCUACUGGUGUUCCAUGUUCGCAGUGAUCUGGCCUCCUGUGAAAUCAUUUCUCUGACAGGGACUCCAGCUUUAUCACACACAAGAUGGUGCACAGAUGAAAGACUCUGCAGUCUGUUGACUCUAAAAUACUGCAUUCAUUGUAAAGAAAGUCUUACUCACAACAGCUCCAAGCUCCAGGUCACAUGGAAUAGAUCUCCAUCUGUGACCUGCAGGGAGCCAGAAUGUGCAUGGUGGGGCAAGAAAUAAGAUAAAACUCAUUAUUUUCAAGGUAUCUGUCCCCUGAUAGUCAGGGUCACAUGUGACUUACAUGCUGCACUUAUUUUUAAGGUGUGGCUACACAUGUCACCUGUAUUCUGCCCCAUGCUCUUGGCAGAGAACGCUUGUCACAAAAAAUCUGACCCACCAUGAAGUGUUAGCAUGUCAUUAAUAUGAACCAGUGCAGAUACCUCUUGUUUUGUAAUGCUACUUUAUUUAUAUAAUCCUGGUGCUUGACAGAUAUCAGUCCAUCUCUGGCUAGAGAGAGUCCUAAAUAAAACUAACAACUCUGUGCAGAAGUAUUCAGAGUAGAAGAAUCCAGGUUCCUGUGUCUGGUAAGAUCUGUUCCCGAACUGGAUCCACUUCCCACAAAUCAACAGGCUUAAUGCACCCCCUUCUCUUGCUGACAGCUCUUGCCCACCAGGGAUUCUCUUAAAAUGUUCAAACUACAAAGGGGUCUGCUUUCACGGUUUCUCCUUUUGCCGUCCUUGAUUCUGCUUAAUCUGAGGACAGCUUGCUGCUCUUCAGGCAACCAGCUGCUAGAGAGUGGACCCGAGGAAAGAACUGCCAGGUCAAGCCAUGCUGCUUACAUACACUUCACAGAAACAAAAGUUCCUUCCCGAGGGAGGCUGGUGAAGUCAUCAUUUCAUAACUAGUAUCCACCAUGGUCGAGAAAAAGAGCCACUCCUCAGCGCACACACGCAGGGCGCUUCAGCGCCUUCUCCUUCCUUAGCCUCAAAGCUGGAUCUUUACUGUGGACAGGAAACAGCUCCCUGCUGAUUUCCAGAGCAGCUGCCUCUCUCAUGUCCCUCCUCCUUGUCAUUGCAAGCCCAGGCCCCUCUGUCUGGUGUC